CCCUUAGAUGUCCGGGGCCGCACGCGCGCUACACUGAAGGAAUCAGCGUGGCUUUCUCCCUGACCCGAAAGGGUUGGGAAACCCGUUGAAUCUCCUUCGUGAUAGGGAUUGGGGCUUAAAAUUGUUCCCCAUGAACGAGGAAUUCCCAGUAAGCGCGAGUCAUAAGCUCGCGUUGAUUACGUCCCUGCCCUUUGUACACACCGCCCGUCGCUACUACCGAUUGAACGGUUUAGUGAGGGCCUCGGAUUGGUCUCGGCCCGCUCUUUACCGGGCGGCGCCGUUGGUCGAGAAGACGCUCGAACUUGAUCGUUUAGAGGAAGUAAAAGUCGUAACA
rnacentral:rRNA from 1 species